rnacentral:rRNA from 1 species
UGGGGAAUUUUGGACAAUGGGCGAAAGCCUGAUCCAGCAAUGCCGCGUGUGUGAAGAAGGCCUUCGGGUUGUAAAGCACUUUUGUCCGGAAAGAAAUCCUUGGCUCUAAUACAGUCGGGGGAUGACGGUACCGGAAGAAUAAGCACCGGCUAACUACGUGCCAGCAGCCGCGGUAAUACGUAGGGUGCAAGCGUUAAUCGGAACUACUGGGCGUAAAGCGUGCGCAGGCGGUUUGCUAAGACCGAUGUGAAAUCCCCGGGCUCAACCUGGGAACUGCAUUGGUGACUGGCAGGCUAGAGUAUGGCAGAGGGGGGUAGAAUUCCACGUGUAGCAGUGAAAUGCGUAGAGAUGUGGAGGAAUACCGAUGGCGAAGGCAGCCCCCUGGGCCAAUACUGACGCUCAUGCACGAAAGCGUGGGGAGCAAACAGGAUUAGAUACCCUGGUAGUCCACGCCCUAAACGAUGUCAACUAGUUGUUGGGGAUUCAUUUCCUUAGUAACGUAGCUAACGCGUGAAGUUGACCGCCUGGGGAGUACGGUCGCAAGAUUAAAACUCAAAUGAAUUGACGGGGUCAUAGCUG